UUGAACGCUGGCGGCAGGCCUAACACAUGCAAGUCGAGCGGUAGCACAGAGAGCUUGCUCUCGGGUGACGAGCGGCGGACGGGUGAGUAAUGUCUGGGAAACUGCCUGAUGGAGGGGGAUAACUACUGGAAACGGUAGCUAAUACCGCAUAACGUCGCAAGACCAAAGUGGGGGACCUUCGGGCCUCAUGCCAUCAGAUGUGCCCAGAUGGGAUUAGCUAGUAGGUGGGGUAACGGCUCACCUAGGCGACGAUCCCUAGCUGGUCUGAGAGGAUGACCAGCCACACUGGAACUGAGACACGGUCCAGACUCCUACGGGAGGCAGCAGUGGGGAAUAUUGCACAAUGGGCGCAAGCCUGAUGCAGCCAUGCCUCGUGUGUGAAGAAGGCCUUCGGGUUGUAAAGCACUUUCAGCGGGGAGGAAGGCGGUGAGGUUAAUAACCUCAUCGAUUGACGUUACCCGCAGAAGAAGCACCGGCUAACUCCGUGCCAGCAGCCGCGGUAAUACGGAGGGUGCAAGCGUUAAUCGGGAUUACUGGGCGUAAAGCGCACGCAGGCGGUCUGUCAAGUCGGAUGUGAAAUCCCCGGGCUUAACCUGGGAACUGCAUUCGAAACUGGCAGGCUAGAGUCUUGUAGAGGGGGGUAGAAUUCCAGGUGUAGCGGUGAAAUGCGUAGAGAUCUGGAGGAAUACCGGUGGCGAAGGCGGCCCCCUGGACAAAGACUGACGCUCAGGUGCGAAAGCGUGGGGAGCAAACAGGAUUAGAUACCCUGGUAGUCCACGCCGUAAACGAUGUCGAUUUGGAGGUUGUGCCCUUGAGGCGUGGCUUCCGGAGCUAACGCGUUAAAUCGACCGCCUGGGGAGUACGGCCGCAAGGUUAAAACUCAAAUGAAUUGACGGGGGCCCGCACAAGCGGUGGAGCAUGUGGUUUAAUUCGAUGCAACGCGAAGAACCUUACCUGGUCUUGACAUCCACAGAACUUUCCAGAGAUGGAUUGGUGCCUUCGGGAACUGUGAGACAGGUGCUGCAUGGCUGUCGUCAGCUCGUGUUGUGAAAUGUUGGGUUAAGUCCCGCAACGAGCGCAACCCUUAUCCUUUGUUGCCAGCGGUUAGGCCGGGAACUCAAAGGAGACUGCCAGUGAUAAACUGGAGGAAGGUGGGGAUGGCGUCAAGUCAUCAUGGCCCUUACGACCAGGGCUACACACGUGCUACAAUGGCAUAUACAAAGAGAAGCGACCUCGCGAGAGCAAGCGGACCUCAUAAAGUAUGUCGUAGUCCGGAUUGGAGUCUGCAACUCGACUCCAUGAAGUCGGAAUCGCUAGUAAUCGUAGAUCAGAAUGCUACGGUGAAUACGUUCCCGGGCCUUGUACACACCGCCCGUCACACCAUGGGAGUGGGUUGCAAAAGAAGUAGGUAGCUUAACCUUCGGGAGGGCGCUUACCACUUUGUGAUUCAUGACUGGGGUGAAG
rnacentral:rRNA from 1 species